UUAUAAGAAAUUUUAUCAAAAAAUAAAAAUUAAAGAAAUUCUCAAGAAAAUCUACAAAAAUUAACAAGUGAAGUGUGAAAAAGUGUUUAAAAGUUUUCAAAAAAUUUUUGCAAAAAGAAUUUAAAAGGAUUUAAUGAUAAGCCACAAAGUUUAAAACUCUCAGCACUAACAACAACAACAACAAUACAUGAUCAGAUAUUGAAGACAAUUAAAGGAGCUUUUCAAGAGG